GCUGCAAACAUUUCUUAUUCUAUUGGGAAUUGUUUGUUUCAAAAUACUAAGCAUACUGUACCAUAACCCUAAAAUUUUCUUUCAUCAUUGUUUCAAAGGAAAUGGGAGGGAGUUUAAUUUAUUAUAAAUUUAUUAUCCUAAAUGUGGUCUGUUGAUUUACUUAACACGAAACACAAAUCAAUGGUAUUAUAUAAAUCAUUGUAACUUUGGUACUGUAAAAAAUCCUGUUAUUACACAAAUCAAUGAUGAUACAACAAAAAACACACAUUCACCCUUUUCUUCAAUAUUACACCAAAGCCACUAAAAAUUCAAUGAUGAUAUUGAACAAAUCUCUCUAAUGCCCCAUAGGAGCCCCCUAUGUAGGAUUCCUGAUGGUACAGCUCCUUGGUACAUGGAGACUAUGAAACUUUGGUUCCUUUGGAACAGUUAAAGUCCUCCUUCCUCGUGAACAAUGUUUCGAAUUGGAAGCAGCACCAUUACUUGUAGGUGAAGAAGCAUCAUUUUGACGUGGCUUUGCUGUGUCCUUUGGUGAAAUCAUGAAACUUGCCACCAUGAUGUAUGUCUAUGGUGAAAUCUGAGUCCCCAUCAUUACAGAAAGUUCGAGUGCAGGGAGAUGGAGCAGAGGCACAACGCGAGGACGGGAGGCUAGGCGCUCGGAGGCUCGGCAAGGGGUUUCACCGCGAGGGACAGAGACGCCUUGGCUGGACAAACAGUGGAGAAGACCUCCGACAACAAUAACGCAGAUGGGCCCAGCGCAGAGGCAAGGCGACGGAGAGCACACCAGCAAGCGUCC